rnacentral:rRNA from 1 species
AGAGACAGCAGUAGCCGCGGGAAUACGUAGGUCCCGAGCGUUGUCCGGAUUUAUUGGGCGUAAAGCGAGCGCAGGCGGUUAGAAAAGUCUGAAGUGAAAGGCAGUGGCUCAACCAUUGUAGGCUUUGGAAACUGUUUAACCUGAGUGCAGAAGGGGAGAGUGGAAUUCCAUGUGUAGCGGUGAAAUGCGUAGGUAUAUGGAGGAACACCGGUGGCGAAAGCGGCUCUCUGGUCUGUAACUGACGCUGAGGCUCGAAAGCGUGGGGAGCGAACAGGAUUAGAUACCCCCGUAGUCCCUGUCUCUUAUACA